CCGCCCCCGCACCCAGCCGGGGAGGGACGUCUCAUCCUCCUGUCCUUCGCAGGCCGUGGCGGCGGAGGAGCCCUUGAGGGAGAUGGCGACGGUGGAGGAAGCGCAGCCCCCCAGGGGCGCGCGGACUGGGACGAGCAGGGCUCGGGGACUCUGCCUCCUAGGAAGCCCUGUGCCUGCGCGCACCGCCCCCCCAGGCGGCCGGAUGGAGCGCGGGGGAUUGCAUGGAGCGCUCGGGAGUGUCCGUGAGCGCGGGAGCCGGGCGGCUGAGAACUGCAGCAGCGCCGAUAACUCUUCUUUGAACGAUUUUCCUUCUCCUCUAAGUACCUUCUUCAGAAGUUCCUUCAGUGAAGAUAAUCUGUUUUUAUAAUAUCUGAAAGUGCCUUUGUUUUGCCCACAUUCUUGAAUUUUGGCUUCACCAUGUUUCUCCCAUUGGUUACAAAAGUUAUUUGUAUAUUUUUUCUAGCAUUUUAAAAAGAUGUUUUGUAGCUGGAAGGUUUUGGGAUCUCUAUUCUGCCAUGUUGCUGAAGGAAAAAUAAGAUUAAAACCAAAUUAAUUUGUAGUUUAA